UGGCUCAAUGGUAGAGCGCUUGCCUUGCAUGCAUGAGGCCCUGGGUUCAAUUCCACAG
rnacentral:tRNA from 1 species